CACUGAAUCGUUUGAAAGCUGUUUGUCGUCCAGCAAAAUGCGGGGUGCUUUAGGCCAAAGAAAAAAGGAGAGCGCUGCAUAACGUGGAUAUUAACUUACAAUCCAUUGAAAACAAAGCCUAAAAUACAUCGUCUGGCAUCGAUGAAGAAGAAGGUGUUCAUGAAGUUUGACACCGGCACGACUCUAUACAGUAGGUAAAACCGCGAAUGUUGAAUCUGAAGCCAGUUUUUUGCCCUAGGAAAAUUACUGCAAGGAUACACUUUGAAAUCUUGCUGUUCUCUGUGAAGAGUGUUUUUAUCUGCUGUUUGGACUCU